GAUGAACGCUGGCGGCGUGCCUAAUACAUGCAAGUCGAGCGAACAGACGAGGAGCUUGCUCCUCUGACGUUAGCGGCGGACGGGUGAGUAACACGUGGAUAACCUGCCUAUAAGACUGGGAUAACUUCGGGAAACCGGAGCUAAUACCGGAUAAUAUAUUGAACCGCAUGGUUCAAUAGUGAAAGACGGUUUUGCUGUCACUUAUAGAUGGAUCCGCGCCGCAUUAGCUAGUUGGUAAGGUAACGGCUUACCAAGGCGACGAUGCGUAGCCGACCUGAGAGGGUGAUCGGCCACACUGGAACUGAGACACGGUCCAGACUCCUACGGGAGGCAGCAGUAGGGAAUCUGCCGCAAUGGGCGAAAGCCUGACGGAGCAACGCCGCGUGAGUGAUGAAGGUCUUCGGAUCGUAAAACUCUGUUAUUAGGGAAGAACAAAUGUGUAAGUAACUAUGCACGUCUUGACGGUACCUAAUCAGAAAGCCACGGCUAACUACGU
rnacentral:rRNA from 1 species